CCCCACUGCUAUCGAGGUGGGACUAAGCCAUGCUAGUUGAGCGCACAGAACUAUGUCUGUGAGCGGCACACUGCUCAGUAACACGUAGCUAUCCUACCCUUAGGACGUGGACAACCCCGAGAAAUUGGGGCUAAUCCGCGAUAGAUGUAUUGUCCUGGAAUGGUAUUACGUCUAAAGGUAUCCCAUACAUGUUUGGUAUACGCCUAAGGAUGGGGCUGCGGCCGAUCAGGCAGUUGGUGAGGUAAUGGCUCACCAAACCUUUGACCGGUACGGGCCAUGAGAGUGGUAGCCCGGAGAUGGACACUGAGACAAGGGUCCAGGCCCUACGGGGCGCAGCAGGCGCGAAACCUCCUCAAUGCACUUACGUGCGAAGGGGCUACCUCGAGUGCCACCUGAUGAAGGUGGCUUUUCCUAGGUCUAAAAAGCCUUGGGAAUAAGAGGGGGGCAAGACUGGUGUCAGCCGCCGCGGUAACACCAGCCCCUCGAGUGGUGGGGAUGAUUAUUGGGCCUAAAGCGUCCGUAGCCUGCCGUAUAAGUUUCCCGUUAAAUCCAGCGUCUCAAGCGUUGGACUGCGGGAAAUACUGUACGGCUAGAGAGUGGGAGAGGUCAGCGGUAUUCUGGGGGUAGGGGUGAAAUCCAUUGAUCCCCGGAGGACCACCAGUGGCGAAGGCUGCUGUCUAGAACACGUCUGACGGUCAGGGACGAAAGCUGGGGUAGCGAACCGGAUUAGAUACCCGGGUAGUCCCAGCCGUAAACGAUGCAUGCUAGGUGUUGGGUUGGCCACGAGCCACCCCAGUGCCGCAGGGAAGCCGUUAAGCAUGCCGCCUGGGAAGUACGAUCGCAAGGUUGAAAC
rnacentral:rRNA from 1 species